rnacentral:rRNA from 1 species
AACGAACACUGGCGGCAGGCUUAACACAUGCAAGUCGAACGGGCGUAGCAAUACGUCAGUGGCAGACGGGUGAGUAACACGUGGGAAUAUCCCUUUCAGUUCGGAAUAACUCAGGGAAACUCGAGCUAAUACCGGAUACGUCCCUCGGGAGAAAGAUUUAUCGCUGAGAGAUUAGCCCGCGUCUGAUUAGCUAGUUGGUGAGGUAAUGGCUCACCAAGGCGACGAUCAGUAGCUGGUCUGAGAGGAUGAUCAGCCACACUGGGACUGAGACACGGCCCAGACUCCUACGGGAGGCAGCAGUGGGGAAUAUUGGACAAUGGGGGAAACCCUGAUCCAGCCAUGCCGCGUGAGUGAUGAAGGCCUUAGGGUUGUAAAGCUCUUUUGCCAGGGAAGAUAAUGACUGUACCUGGAGAAUAAGCCCCGGCUAACUUCGUGCCAGCCGCCGCAGUAA